UCAAGUGAAGAAGCGCAUACGGUGGAUGCCUUGGCAGUCAGAGGCGAUGAAAGACGUGGUAGCCUGCGAAAAGCUUCGGGGAGUCGGCAAACAGACUGUGAUCCGGAGAUGUCUGAAUGGGGGAACCCAGCCAUCAUAAGAUGGUUAUCUUGUACUGAAUACAUAGGUGCAAGAGGCGAACCAGGGGAACUGAAACAUCUAAGUACCCUGAGGAAAAGAAAUCAACCGAGAUUCCCUUAGUAGUGGCGAGCGAACGGGGACCAGCCCUUAAGUUGUAUUGAGAUUAGCGGAACGUUCUGGAAAGGACGGCCAUAGUGGGUGAUAGCCCUGUACGCGAAAAUCCCUUUGCAAUGAAAUCGAGUAGGACGGGGCACGAGAAACCUUGUCUGAAUAUGGGGGGACCAUCCUCCAAGGCUAAAUACUACUGACUGACCGAUAGUGAACCAGUACCGUGAGGGAAAGGCGAAAAGAACCGCGGAGAGCGGAGUGAAAUAGAUCCUGAAACCGUAUGCGUACAAGCAGUGGGAGCCCACCUUGUUGGGUGACUGCGUACCUUUUGUAUAAUGGGUCAGCGACUUAUUUUCAGUGGCGAGCUUAACCGAAUAGGGGAGGCGUAGCGAAAGCGAGUCUUAAUAGGGCGUCUAGUCGCUGGGAAUAGACCCGAAACCGGGCGAUCUAUCCAUGGGCAGGUUGAAGGUUGGGUAACACUAACUGGAGGACCGAACCGACUACCGUUGAAAAGUUAGCGGAUGACCUGUGGAUCGGAGUGAAAGGCUAAUCAAGCUCGGAGAUAGCUGGUUCUCCUCGAAAGCUAUUUAGGUAGCGCCUCAUGUAUCACUGUAGGGGGUAGAGCACUGUUUCGGCUAGGGGGUCAUCCCGACUUACCAAACCGAUGCAAACUCCGAAUACCUACAAGUGCCGAGCAUGGGAGACACACGGCGGGUGCUAACGUCCGUCGUGAAAAGGGAAACAACCCAGACCGUCAGCUAAGGUCCCAAAGUCAUGGUUAAGUGGGAAACGAUGUGGGAAGGCUUAGACAGCUAGGAGGUUGGCUUAGAAGCAGCCACCCUUUAAAGAAAGCGUAAUAGCUCACUAGUCGAGUCGGCCUGCGCGGAAGAUGUAACGGGGCUCAAACCAUGCACCGAAGCUACGGGUAUCAUCUUUUGAUGAUGCGGUAGAGGAGCGUUCUGUAAGCCUGUGAAGGUGAGUUGAGAAGCUUGCUGGAGGUAUCAGAAGUGCGAAUGCUGACAUGAGUAACGACAAUGGGUGUGAAAAACACCCACGCCGAAAGACCAAGGUUUCCUGCGCAACGUUAAUCGACGCAGGGUUAGUCGGUCCCUAAGGCGAGGCUGAAAAGCGUAGUCGAUGGAAAACAGGUUAAUAUUCCUGUACUUCUGGUUAUUGCGAUGGAGGGACGGAGAAGGCUAGGCCAGCCUGGCGUUGGUUGUCCAGGUUUAAGGUGGUAGGCUGAGAUCUUAGGUAAAUCCGGGAUCUUAAGGCCGAGAGCUGAUGACGAGUGUUCUUUUAGAACACGAAGUGGUUGAUGCCAUGCUUCCAAGAAAAGCUUCUAAGCUUCAGGUAACCAGGAACCGUACCCCAAACCGACACAGGUGGUUGGGUAGAGAAUACCAAGGCGCUUGAGAGAACUCGGGUGAAGGAACUAGGCAAAAUGGCACCGUAACUUCGGGAGAAGGUGCGCCGGUGGAGGUGAAGCAUUUACUGCGUAAGCCCCUGCCGGUCGAAGAUACCAGGCCGCUGCGACUGUUUAUUAAAAACACAGCACUCUGCAAACACGAAAGUGGACGUAUAGGGUGUGACGCCUGCCCGGUGCCGGAAGGUUAAUUGAUGGGGUUAGCGCAAGCGAAGCUCUUGAUCGAAGCCCCGGUAAACGGCGGCCGUAACUAUAACGGUCCUAAGGUAGCGAAAUUCCUUGUCGGGUAAGUUCCGACCUGCACGAAUGGCGUAACGAUGGCGGCGCUGUCUCCACCCGAGACUCAGUGAAAUUGAAAUCGCUGUGAAGAUGCAGUGUAUCCGCGGCUAGACGGAAAGACCCCGUGAACCUUUACUAUAGCUUUGCACUGGACUUUGAAUUUGCUUGUGUAGGAUAGGUGGGAGGCUUUGAAGCGUGGACGCCAGUCUGCGUGGAGCCAACCUUGAAAUACCACCCUGGCAACUUUGAGGUUCUAACUCAGGUCCGUUAUCCGGAUCGAGGACAGUGUAUGGUGGGUAGUUUGACUGGGGCGGUCUCCUCCUAAAGAGUAACGGAGGAGUACGAAGGUGCGCUCAGACCGGUCGGAAAUCGGUCGUAGAGUAUAAAGGCAAAAGCGCGCUUGACUGCGAGACAGACACGUCGAGCAGGUACGAAAGUAGGUCUUAGUGAUCCGGUGGUUCUGUAUGGAAGGGCCAUCGCUCAACGGAUAAAAGGUACUCCGGGGAUAACAGGCUGAUACCGCCCAAGAGUUCAUAUCGACGGCGGUGUUUGGCACCUCGAUGUCGGCUCAUCACAUCCUGGGGCUGAAGCCGGUCCCAAGGGUAUGGCUGUUCGCCAUUUAAAGUGGUACGCGAGCUGGGUUUAGAACGUCGUGAGACAGUUCGGUCCCUAUCUGCCGUGGACGUUUGAGAUUUGAGAGGGGCUGCUCCUAGUACGAGAGGACCGGAGUGGACGAACCUCUGGUGUUCCGGUUGUCACGCCAGUGGCAUUGCCGGGUAGCUAUGUUCGGAAAAGAUAACCGCUGAAAGCAUCUAAGCGGGAAACUUGCCUCAAGAUGAGAUCUCACUGGAACCUUGAGUUCCCUAAAGGGCCGUCGAAGACUACGACGUUGAUAGGUUGGGUGUGUAAGCGCUGUGAGGCGUUGAGCUAACCAAUACUAAUUGCCCGUGAGGCUUGACCAU
rnacentral:rRNA from 1 species